AGCCGGCCAAAGGUAACCUUCCCCCUUGCCCUUACUCAACAAUUUCAAGGUGGGCUUCACUUAUGGCCUCUUCAUUGAUGCAUUCAAGCUUGCUAGUUAAUUGUUUCAUUAAAAGUUUGAGUUGUGGGUUUUCCCACAUGUUAUAUGCUGAAGGUUUUUGGUUCUGUAAAGUUCUUUUAUUUCACGAUUCUAUUCUGAAUGAUAUAUUUCUCAUUCCUUACUGUCUUAUGGUUGAUGUAUGUCCAACCCGCCAAAGCUCUUCUGAGAUCAUCUUUUUACUUGUUUUUGUCAUGUUCUUUGGCUUUCACUUUGAGGAACAUCUCCUUUGAUUUUGCAAAUAUAUAAAAAUUCAUUUCUAAUCCUCUCUCAUUGUGAGAUAUGUUUAGGAAAAUCUCUCAUAUUUUCUUAAACUAUAACUUAUUGGCUAAAUGGAUUCUUAAUAUCUAAUUUGGUUGUUGCUAUGUAAAGUGAAAAACUCACUGGCAUGAAGGAUUUGAUAAGAAGAGGUUUGAUGCGAUAUUUCCCUCACAUGUUUUGGCACCCAAGAAAUAUUGUAUUGUAUUAAGGCCACGCUCAGCUAUUCGUGAAGUUGUUUUGUGAUAUGGCUUCCGUAGGUUCCAUAAUAUGAUUGUUAAGCAACGAACAGCUAAGAAUGAUGGUGUUAUUGUUUCAACUCAUAACAUGUGGUGCCAUCCUGUGAUCCACACUGCCCAACCUUUCUUCAGAGAUAAUGCCUCCAUUCAAGCGGUAUUGCCAUCUUAUACUCCAGGCUUAUAAAUUUUCAAUUAAAUGGAUUCAUUGUUGUUUUUUCUUUUUCAAGCCAGACUGGACAUGGUUGGUU
rnacentral:misc_RNA from 1 species